rfam:Otolemur garnettii contig068555, whole genome shotgun sequence.
GCCAGGUGCUGUGGCGGGCGCCUGUAGUCCCAGCUACUUGGGAGGCUGAGGCAGGAGACUUGCUUGAGCCCAGGAGUUGGAGGUUGCUGUGAGCAUGAUGCCAUGGCACUCUACCCAGGGGGAUAGCUUGAGACUUCGUCUCAAAAAAAAAAAAAAGAGACAAACUUUUUUUAAAUUGAGAUAGAGUCUCACUUUGUCACCCUUGGUAGAAUGCUGUGGCAUUACAGCUCACAGCAACCUCAAACUCCUGGGCUCAAGUGAUUCUUUUGCCUCAG